GGACUCCAUUCCCUUGAAGGAGCCUUCUUAUGACUGAGCAUGACGGCCAAGGUAUGUGUAUAUAGUUAGAAUUAAAUUUUUUCUUUUAUUUCUAGUUUUCUUCUUAUUUUGUAGGUCUUCUUUUCUGGAAAUCAACAGCUCAAGGUAUUCUUCUUCUCUCUAUUAUUUUCUCUAUUGUCUCUAAUAUAUAAUUUUCUUGCAAUUUUUUUACAUUGAGGACAAUGCAAUGUUUAAGUUGGGGGGAGAGAAAUAUUUUGAUCAAAAAAAAAAAAACUUGUUUUUGCAUUCUAUUACUUUCUUUUCUGAGCAAAUGCACAUGUAUUUUCAUAUUGA
rnacentral:lncRNA from 1 species